rnacentral:rRNA from 1 species
UUAAACGGCCGCGGUAUUCUAACCGUGCAAAGGUAGCGUAAUCACUUGUCUCCUAAAUAGGGACCUGUAUGAACGGCUAAAUGAAUAUUUAACUGUCUCUUUUAACUAAUCAGUGAAACUGAUCUUCCAGUACAAAAGCUGGGAUAAUAAUAUAAGACGAAAAGACCCUGUGGAGCUUUAAAUUUCAACCAACAUAUAAUUAUCACAGUUAUUUAUGCUUAACAUUUUAAGUUGGGGCGACUUCGGAUAAAAACUAAACAUCCGAGCAAAUAAGCACUG